AUUGAACGCUGGCGGCAGGCCUAACACAUGCAAGUCGAGCGAGCGGCGGACGGGUGAGUACUGUCUGGGAAACUGCCUGCUGGAGGGGGCUAACUACUGGAAACGGUAGCUAAUACCGCAUACCAUCAUAUGUGCCCAGAUGGGAUUAGCUAGGAGGUGGGGUAACGGCUCACCUAGGCGACGAUCCCUAGCUGGUCUGAGAGGAAGACCAGCCACUCUGGAACUGAGACACGGUCCAGACUCCUACGGGAGGCAGCAGUGGGGAAUAUUGCACAAUGGGCGCAAGCCUGAUGCAGCCAGGCCGCGGGUAUGAAGAAGGCCUUCGGGUUGUAAAGGACUUUCAGCGGGGAGGCGUUACCCGAAGAAGAAGCACCGGCUAACUCCGUGCCAGCAGCCGCGGUAAUAC
rnacentral:rRNA from 1 species